ensembl:snRNA U6 U6 spliceosomal RNA
GUGCUUGCUUCAGCAGCACAUAUACUAAAAUUGGAAUGAUACAGAGAAGAUUAGCAUGGCCCCUGCUCAAGAAUGACACGCAAAUUCAUGAAGCAUUCCAUACUUUA